rnacentral:rRNA from 1 species
GACGAACGCUGGCGGCGUGCUUAACACAUGCAAGUCGAACGGAAAGGCCCUGCUUUUGUGGGGUGCUCGAGCGGCGAACGGGUGAGUAACACGUGAGUAACCUGCCCUUGACUUUGGGAUAACUUCAGGAAACUGGGGCUAAUACCGGAUAGGAGCUCCUGCUGCAUGGUGGGGGUUGGAAAGUUUCGGCGGUUGGGGAUGGACUCGCGGCUUAUCAGCUUGUUGGUGGGGUAGUGGCUUACCAAGGCUUUGACGGGUAGCCGGCCUGAGAGGGUGGACGGCCACAUUAGGACUGAGAUACGGACCAGACUCCUACGGGGGGCAGCGGUGGGGAAUAUUGCACAAUGGGCGGGAGCCUGAUGCAGAAACGCCGCGUGCGGGAUGACGGCCUUCGGGUUGUAAACCGCUUUCGCCUGUGACGAAGCGUGAGUGACGGUAAUGGGUAAAGAAGCACCGGCUAACUACGUG